rnacentral:rRNA from 1 species
UACGGAGGGUGCAAGCGUUAUCCGGAUUCACUGGGUUUAAAGGGUGCGUAGGUGGAUCGGUAAGUCCGUGGUGAAAUCCCCGAGCUUAACUCGGGAACUGCCGUGGAUACUAUCGAUCUUGAAUACUGUGGAGGUAAGCGGAAUAUGUCAUGUAGCGGUGAAAUGCUUAGAUAUGACAUAGAACACCGAUAGCGAAGGCAGCUUGCUACACAGUUAUCGACACUGAGGCACGAAAGCGUGGGGAGCAAACAGG